rnacentral:rRNA from 1 species
GCACAAGCGGUGGAUGAUGUGGAUUAAUUCGAUGCAACGCGAAAACCUUACCUACCCUUGACAUGUCUGGAAUCUUGGUGAGAGCCGAGGGUGCCUUCGGGAGCCAGAACACAGGUGCUGCAUGGCUGUCGUCAGCUCGUGUCGUGAGAUGUUGGGUUAAGUCCCGCAACGAGCGCAACCCUUGUCACUAGUUGCCAUCAUUUGGUUGGGCACUCUAGUGAGACUGCCGGUGACAAACCGGAGGAAGGUGGGGAUGACGUCAAGUCCUCAUGGCCCUUAUGGGUAGGGCUUCACACGUCAUACAAUGGUCGGUACAGGGGGUUGCCAAGCCGCGAGGUGGAGCCAAUCCCACAAAGCCGGUCGUAGUCCGGAUCGCAGUCUGCAACUCGACUGCGUGAAGUCGGAAUCGCUAGUAAUCGCGGAUCAGCAUGUCGCGGUGAAUACGUUCCCGGGUCUU